GGAAUUAUCUCCAAGACAGAGCGAGAGUGGCGCCAGACCGGGCUAGAGCAACGGCCAGAGGAGAAGCGUGCUAAACCAGCGCCUCCUUUCCCCGGCUUGCGCGCGUUUUAUCACGUGACCACCUAUAGAUACUUGGGGCACCCAUCCAGGCACUAUACAUCUCGGCUCGCCCUCGUACACUUCCUUUAACGCGCACAGCUAACGGCGCAGGAUAGGAUCUUAUCGCACUUUAUACGUAAGCUCACGGCAACACCGACAGAUAUAUUUCGGCGGUUGUGUCCAUAUAAUUGCUAUCGCAAAAUUCGCAAUACAUAGAAAAUUUUACUAAGGACCAACCACGCUGCUGCCAUGUCGUGAUAGAGCGGUGAACGAUAGUUCUAGAAAAUGUGUUGCUAAAUCUCCGCCAAAUGACUAUACGCUCGCAUUUGGUGAGAGCGGCACACAGUCGCAAGAACUUGUGGAGGAAAUACCGGAGUUCUGGCAGCUUCAGGUGCACUAGAUCAUUCAGUAACAUGGGCGGCUUUGUAGUUCUACCUUACAUCAGAGCAAACUGCACUCGACAGAAAUCAAGGGCAGCCGCACCGUUAUAGCUAAGCAAAUUAAGGACAAUUACGCCGCGUCUUCAGACUUCGAGCACGCUCCGACAGCCCAGCGAUAGAUAUUUAAAACACAACCACACUCGGACGAGAAAAUUUUGCUUCUGCCAAGUGAACGUAGCGGGUAUUUCAAGACGCGUGUUAAAUUCAUGGCUGUUUCAUUCGUAAACAUUACUUAAGUGACGUAAAAUUAUCAGUGAGCAAAACAGUUUUUAUUUCAACGCAAGGAAACAAAACCGAAACUAGCGCAACUGUUUUGCCCAGUUGUGCAGAUACAAAAUGAUCCAAAGCCGAAGCCGUCAAUAGCAUGACGCCAUUUUGAACUUGUGCUGCAUCACGCGCGAGUACGUUGUCGUUGAGUGGUUCUGAAAUCGCUACGUUAAGGGCGACUGCAACCAAGCGUUGUGGCAAGUUACGGUGGGAGCUUCUGUCCGUGCUGUGUGAUUGCGACGAGGGGACCGCCGCCAGCAGCAGCGUAUCGCCGAUAAGCGCCCGAAGUGCUGCGGUUUGCACUGCAUCUUUCAUUGUGAUAUGGGAGAUCGCAACGGACAGAGACGACCAGAUGCAUACGAACGACUACCAGCGGGGAGUGACCUGUGCCAUAUUUCUCUUAACGUCUCAGGUAUUCAAGAAAUGGCAACAGCCAGAAGUCACCAUCUUACCAGCACGUUAUGGGUACACUCUGGCGGCUCCUACCCCUGUGUCCUCCCACCACCCUGUCCUGACUACGUCCACUAGGUAGUUGGGAGCCUUUGGCGGCUUCUGCCACUGCAUCCUGCCGCCACCAUGUCCCGACUAUGUCCACUAGGGAGUUGGCAGCCUUAGUGAUGAUGCCAGCAGGCUGACAGCCGACAGAAAGAUUCAGGUUGCCUCGAAAUUUUACCCAAGCCAUGCCGCACACUCGGGCCAGGCCUCUUGCGAAGGACGUAUAACCAGGCUCAACGCAUCAGGGUCGAGGGAGUCCGGAGAUCAAGGCAACCUGCUGUGCAACCAGCGUGCAACCUUUGGUGACCCCUCUACAUGUGCUACCUAUUUCACAGCUGUGCCUCACCUACCAUCUAUCCAAACAGCAUCACCGGCUGUGAUCACUUAUCGAACCAUGGAUGAAUGUUGGGGUGGAGUGAUUUGAACAGACAUUCUAUUUGUCUCUUCAAAUUCUUUGUAAAUAUUUCUGUUAUAAUUCAUAUGUGUCUUUAGUAUCUAGUUUUUAAUAGUUCCUUUCUCUUAGAAUUCUCACCAUCAGCCCCUGCUAUUCUAAUGUAUACCUGCCUUUAA